UGUUUCAGAAUUACAUGAAUA
rnacentral:piRNA from 1 species